ACUCCUACGGGAGGCAGCAGUGAGGAAUAUUGGUCAAUGGGCGAGAGCCUGAACCAGCCAAGUCGCGUGAAGGAAGAAGGUUCUAUGGAUUGUAAACUUCUUUUGCAGGGGAAUAAAGUUCGCUACGAGUAGCGAUUUGUAAGUACCUUGCGAAUAAGGAUCGGCUAACUCCGUGCCAGCAGCCGCGGUAAUACGGAGGAUCCGAGCGUUAUCCGGAUUUAUUGGGUUUAAAGGGUGCGCAGGCGGGCCUUUAAGUCAGUGGUGAAAGUUUGCAGCUCAACUGUAAAAUUGCCAUUGAAACUGGGGGUCUUGAGUGUAAAUGAGGUAGGCGGAAUGUGUUGUGUAGCGGUGAAAUGCUUAGAUAUAACACAGAACACCAAUUGCGAAGGCAGCUUACUGGGAUACAACUGACGCUCAGGCACGAAAGCGUGGGGAUCAAACAGGAUUAGAUACCCUGGUAGUCCACGCAGUAAACGAUGAAUACUAGCUGUAUGCGAUAUAGAGUAUGUGGCAAAGCGAAAGCGUUAAGUAUUCCACCUGGGGAGUACGUUCGCAAGAAUGAAACUCAAAGGAAAUUGACGGGG
rnacentral:rRNA from 1 species